CGGGGAGCGGUAAGGGCGGCGAGCGGCGGACGGGGGAGUAAUGCCUGGGAAUAUGCCCUGNAUGUGGGGGAUAACUAUUGGAAACGAUAGCUAAUACCGCAUAAUCUCUUCGGAGCAAAGAGGGGGACUUCGGGCCUCUCGCGUCAGGAUUAGCCCAGGUGGGAUUAGCUUGUUGGUGAGGUAAUGGCUCACCAAGGCAACGAUCCCUAGCUGGUCUGAGAGGAUGAUCAGCCACACUGGAACUGAGACACGGUCAGACUCCUACGGGAGGCAGCAGUGGGGAAUAUUGCACAAUGGGGGAAACCCUGAUGCAGCCAUGCCGCGUGUGUGAAGAAGGCCUUCGGGUUGUAAAGCACUUUCAGUAGGGAGGAAGGUAGUGUAUUAACACCUGCAUUAUUUGACGUUACCUACAGAAGAAGCACCGGCUAACUCCGUGCCAGCAGCCGCGGUAAUACGGAGGGUGCGAGCGUUAAUCGGAAUUACUGGGCGUAAAGYGCAUGCAGGCGGCUGUUAAGUCAGAUGUGAAAGCCCGGGGCUUAACCUCGGAAUUGCAUUUGAAACUGGCAGGYUAGAGUCUUGUAGAGGGGGGUAGAAUUUCAGGUGUAGCGGUGAAAUGCGUAGAGAUCUGAMGGAAUCCASUKGCGGAGGCGG
rnacentral:rRNA from 1 species